UUGGAGGGCAAGUCUGGUGCCAGCAGCCGCGGUAAUUCCAGCUCCAAUAGCGUAUAUUAAAGUUGUUGCAGUUAAAAAGCUCGUAGUUGAAUUUCGGGGUCAGUAGGUCGGUCGUGCCACUGGUAUGAACUGGUUUUACUGAUUCCUCCCUCUUGAAGAACUGUAAUGCCAUUAAUUUGGUGUUGCAGGGAGUCAGGACUGUUACUUUGAAAAAAUUAGAGUGUUUAAAGCAGGCUUUAGCUUGAAUACAUUAGCAUGGAAUAAUGAAAUAGGACGUUUGAUCCUAUUUUGUUGGUUUCUAGGAUUGACGUAAUGAUUAAUAGGGAUAGUUGGGGGCAUUAGUAUUCAAUUGUCAGAGGUGAAAUUCUUGGAUUUAUUGAAGACUAACUACUGCGAAAGCAUUUGCCAAGGAUGUUUUCAUUAAUCAAGAACGAAAGUUAGGGGAUCGAAGACGAUCAGAUACCGUCGUAGUCUUAACCAUAAACUAUGCCGACUAGGGAUCGGAUGAUGUUAAUUUUUUAAUGACUCAUUCGGCGCCUUACGGGAAAC
rnacentral:rRNA from 1 species